GAUGAACGCUGGCGGCGUGCCUAAUACAUGCAAGUCGAACGGGGUGCUUGAGUAGCAAUACGAAAGUAUCCUAGUGGCGAACGGGUGAGUAACGCGUUGGUGACCUGCCCCAAAGUGUGGGAUAACAGUCCGAAAGGAUUGCUAAUACCGCAUGUGGUCUCUGGAUUUAGAAACCGGUGACUAAAGGAGUAAUCCGCUUUGGGAGGGACCUGCGUCCCAUCAGCUAGUUGGUGAGGUAACGGCUCACCAAGGCGACGACGGGUAGGGGACCUGAGAGGGUGGCCCCCCACAAUGGAACUGAAACACGGUCCAUACACCUACGGGUGGCAGCAGUAGGGAAUAUUGCUCAAUGGGCGAAAGCCUGAAGCAGCAACGCCGCGUGCGCGAUGAAGGUCUUCGGAUCGUAAAGCGCUUUUCUGAGAGAUGAGAAAGGACAGUAUCUCAGGAAUAAGUCUCGGCUAACUACGUGCCAGCCGCCGCCGUAAGAC
rnacentral:rRNA from 1 species